UAGUCCACGCAGUAAACGAUGAAUACUUGAUGUAGGAGGUAUCGACCCCUUCUGUGUCGAAGUUAACGUAUUAAGUAUUCCACCUGGGGAGUACGACCGCAAGGUUGAAACUCAAAGGAAUUGACGGGGACCCGCACAAGCAGUGGAGUAUGUGGUUUAAUUCGAGGCAACGCGAAGAACCUUACCAAGGCUUGACAUCAUUUUGAAGAUUGCUAGAGAUAGCGACCCUUCCCUUCGGGGACAGAAUGAC
rnacentral:rRNA from 1 species